rnacentral:tRNA from 1 species
UCCCUGGUGGCUCAGUUGGUAAAGAAUCUGCCUGGAAUGCAGGAGACCUGGGUUCAAUCCCUGGGUUGGGAA